CAGCCGCCACGGGAAUACGGAGGGAGCUAGCGUUGUUCGGAAUUACUGGGCGUAAAGCGCACGUAGGCGGUUAUUCAAGUCAGAGGUGAAAGCCCGGGGCUCAACCCCGGAACUGCCUUUGAAACUAGAUGACUGGAAUCUUGGAGAGGUCAGUGGGAUUCCGAGUGUAGAGGUGAAAUUCGUAGAUAUUCGGAAGAACACCAGUGGCGAAGGCGACUGACUGGACAAGUAUUGACGCUGAGGUGCGAAAGCGUGGGGAGCAAACAGGAUUAGAUACCCCUGUAGUCCCUGUCUCUUAUAC
rnacentral:rRNA from 1 species